rnacentral:sRNA from 1 species
CGUUUGUGGGUAACCCGGACGUGGAAGAACCUAGUCUGCGGAGGAAAAGUCCCAGGUGCGGGUCAAUCCCCAUACACAGCCGCCGCCAUUGCCUCGAGUCCUUGUGUCUGACUGUCUGUUCCUGCUGCUGUAUGACACAGCAUCUCGAGGCAAGGAAAUAAGAAAACUGCCUCUGAUCCAAGCAGAGAAGGUCUGCCUGUAGAUCUGCUGUAGGGCUUGUCACCAUUGGAAGCAAGGUCCUACUUCAGUGGCAGAUCUGGUGGCCUUGGAGUGGCUGAAGACCACCACCCUCCACAGGGCUGGGCCCAUGCACAACCAUCCUUCCCUACCUUGAAACUCCUGUAGCCUGUAAUACCAGCUGUGGGUACUACUCUCAGUGUUGGAGAUCAUCAAAAUACAAUUGGACCAGACCCUUUGGAAAUAAUUCUGUGUCUCAAAUGCCCUGUGGAGCACACACUUAAUCAGUUGAUGGCUAUGGAAUUUUCCAACAUCAGCUAAAGAGAAGGGAUAGAGUGGUGACUUCCAAGCUUCAUGCAGAACCGGACAACAGAAAUUGAGAGGGAAAUUUUUAUGACAGAAGAGAGAAAGAAGAAAAUUGCUGGAAAUGACCUUGAAUAGAGGAGAUGGGAUAUCAUCUGGUAAG